rnacentral:rRNA from 1 species
UACGUAGGGUGCGAGCGUUGUCCGGAAUUAUUGGGCGUAAAGGGCUCGUAGGCGGUUUGUCGCGUCGGGAGUGAAAUCCACUGGCUUAACUGGUGGCUUGCUUUCAAUACGGGCAGACUGGAGGUAUGCAGGGGAGAACGGAAGUUCCUGGUGUAGCGGUGAAAUGCGCAGAUAUCAGGAGGAACACCGGUGGCGAAGGCGGUUCUCUGGGCAUGUCCUGACGCUGAGGAGCGAAGCGUGGGUAGCAAACAGG